ACAUGCCUGCAGACAGGAAGCUCACUCCUGGCCUCAGAACAACUUGAAUGGGAACUGUACUACCUCCAGGUCAAAGGAAAGGGAACAGGAUUAAGGUUGGCUGAUCUCCUACGUUGGUCUUUAAACUAGUUCAGAUGGGGGAUGAGGAGGCAGAAGAAGGAGAACAUCAGGAACCUGCAAUCCAUGGGACAUGCAACAGUAUAGAACAGAAAGAAAAGGAGCAGAAGAAAUCUUUGCUAGCCUGAAAGGUGUCUGAAGGAGUUUGGUAAGGAUAAUAAAUCUGCAGCAGAAAUUAUUAUUGCAGGAAAAAAAAGCAAAUGUCAGCCUUCUAUAAAAGGUAGUCAGUGCAACUGAUGGCACAUAUAACCUUCGAAGCAUCUCCAAUGCAGACAGAUGUUGACCCAUUGGAGGGAAUUCCAAAAAGAAAAAUUAUUUGAGAGCUGAAAGGAUGGACUUGGGAGGAAAGAUCAGAAGCACGAAUGGGGAGGUAAAGGAAGGGCAUGUUUUUGUUAAUAUCUGAUGAGUAAAUGCCCAAAAUGGAGUUGUUUAAUCUGGAUGAAAUAUUUUGGAUGAAAAAUGUAUUUACCCAAAAAUGUAACUUUGAGGCUGACUAUUUGUAAGCAGAGAGUAAAUCUGGAAACUGGCUUC